ensembl:lncRNA
GGGCAAGGAAGGGGGCAAGGAAGGGGGCAAGGAAGGGAAAAAUUUAAAGGAUGAAAAAGAGAAUCACAAAGGAAUGCAAAGAGAACUAGCUUGAAUAGGGCAGGAAUGGAAAAGAAACAACAAAAGGAAAAAAAAACAGUGGAAGGAAAAUAGAAAGGAGCAGUAAAGAAAAACAAAAUGGAAAGGGGAAAAGAAAAGAAGCAAAACUAGAAGGCAUAGCAAAGCAAUGAAAUACCAAGGAAAAGAAAAAACAGAAUGCGGUAUCAUGGCAAAGCAAAGGACUCAAAGAAAUUCAACAAGAAAAAAACACCAUCCAAAAUUGUUCAAAGAAAAAAAAUAAUGACCAUAAGGAUACAAGCAAAGCCACGAAAAGAAAAGCAAACAAGCAAAGAAGAAAGGAAACCAAAGCAAAGCGAGAAAGCCAUGAAGCCAUGCAAAGCAAUGCAAAGCAGAGGUGAAAAGGAAGAACAGAAGAGCAGAGCAAAGCAAAGCAAGGGCAAAUAAAGAAAGCCUCAAUUCUGGCAGCUCGACCCACCUGGCGCUUCAUUUGUUGCUCUUCAUCGGCCCGACUGCUGGGCACACGACAUCUGCACGGCACACCUUUACAGCCACCUUCCUUAUGGUUCAGCACACAGCUCAGCAGCCCAAAGAGGUUUACCCCUCCGCUGCCAGCUGUUUUCUUCCCACUGCUGGAACCACCCCCAGAAGGCAUUUCCACCAUCCGUGAGGCAGUGGAAAGAGAAAGCAUUGGCCACCCCUCCCGUUCAGCAACACCUAAGGCCAGCGGGACAGCCUUUCCCUCUGCAAAUGCCCUUCCUUCUCCUUUUCCUUCAGGGGCCUCUGCAACUCGUCCUGUGGGGCUCCACAUGGCAGCUUUCCAUCUGCGCCGCUUCCCCACAACACCACACGCCCCACCUGUGAACAGGGCACGUUUCGUCACAUCCCACAUCCCGACCUCAAUCCCAACCCCCAUCCCGGCCCCACAGCCCACAUCCCACCCCAACAGACCACAUCCCGGCCCCACAUUCCACAUCCCAAUGCAAAUCCCAAUCCCACACCCCUCAUCCUAUCUCCCACAUCCUAACCUCGAUCCCAACCCAACAUUCCACGGCAACAGCCCUCAUCCCGGCCCCACAGCCCCCAUCCCAAUGGGAAUGCCAAUACCAAUUCACUAAUCCUAUAUCCCGACCCCAACCUCAACCCCAACCUCACAGCCCCCAUCCCAAUGCAAAUCCCAAUCCCACACCCCGAAUCCUAUACCCCACAUCCCAAUCCCACAUUCCAAUCUCAAUCGAUAUCCCUAAUCCCAUAUCCCAGACCUUAUCCCAACCCCAACCCCACCUUCCAAUCCCACACCAUAAUCCCAAUCCCGAUCCCACAGCCCUAAUUCCAUAUCCCACAUCCGAACCCCAAUCCCACACCCAUUUCCCAACCCCACAGGGAGGUGGGUUAUGGCCGCACAGGGCUCUCCUCUCCUCUCCUCCCCUCCCCUCCUGGCGCUGCUCUCCACCCACCCUUCUCCCUCCGUCCCUCCCUCCCCCCGGUACCGCAGAGCUCAGCACCGCUCCCGUCGUGCCGCGGUUCCGUCCCGGUGCUGUUCCGUCGGCGGUGCCGUGCGGG